GCAUUUUGCACUUGCAUGCAACUGAUGCAACUUUUUUUCAUUUUUUUUGCCUCUUCCUAUUUAGUCUUCAAUUACACAAGUAAAAGCAUAUAUCGGAACAUGGGCGACGGCAUUGCCAUCCCAAUGCCACUCAAUCCAUUGACCCAACUAUGCCAUCAUGCUUGCGUUUGAUCGUGCCAUCCCACGACGCGGUCACCACGGCCUUCUACGAUGUGAUAUAGCUACACGCCAUAACGAAACCUGGACAAGACGUGAACAACCUCACGCUACGUGGACAACUUAUUCUUGUGAAACAUAAGCUAAGUAAAAGUUAACAGGUGCAACGAGAUUAAGUCUCUAACAAGGUAGACCCCCCGGAAGUGGAUGAAGAACAAACCCUUGAUGAACAAGGACGUUCUGGCUUGGAUGAAUCUGACAAAGCUGCAACGCAAUGGAGUAAUUGUUAGCUGCAAUCAAAGAAGAUGCGUGCGUGCAGGAAGCAUCAAGUUAUGCUGAGUUAGCGAGCUACCUGGGGUGACCGGAGGCUAGACGUCAGGAGCAGCCGGAGAGCACUGUGCAGACUGGCCGGUUACAGCUUUAGGCCUACAUGGUGGAUCACGAUCUUGGUGUUUAACAUCUUCAGAUAUGCCCUUGGGAGGCUUGACAGGUACAGGUUCAGGUUUGCUACGUGAACCAUUGGUUACAGCCCUACGCGUCCUAAUUCCUGGAUCAAGAACCGGGUGUUUAACAUCUUCGGAGAUGCGGAUGCCUUUGGAAGGCUUGAUAGGUACAGGUUCAAGUGUGCUACAUGAACCAUUGGUUACAGCGCUACGCGUCCUAAUUCCUGGAUCAGGAACCGGGUGUCUAGGAUCUUCCAAGAUGCCCUUGGAAGGCUUGACAGGUACAGGUUCAGGUGUGCUACAUGAACCAUUGAUUGCAGCGCUACGCGUCCUAAUUCCUGGAUCAGGAACCGGGUGUUUAGGAUCUUCCAAGAUGCCCUUGGGAGGCUUGACAGGUACAGGUUCAGGUGUGCUAUAUGAACCAUUGGUUACAACGCUAGGCGUCCUAAUUCCUGGAUCAAGAACCGGGUGUCCAGGAUCUUCGGAGAUGCCGUUGGGAGGCUUGACAGGUACAGGUUCAAGUGUGCUGGAUGAACCAUGAUCAGGAGUUUGGUAUGCGCUAAGAUCUUGAUGGGCGUUCAGACAAAGCUUGUGAGUGUGAGUUAUAUCUCUAACGGCUCGAGGUGGACGUGGACCCCCAUGAAGUGGCUGAAGAGCAGUCUCUUCCCGAUAUGUACGUGGACCCCCAGCUGCAACGCAGUGUAGAGUACUAGCCGUUAGCUUGUUCUAAAAGAGAUAAAAACCGAUAGGUGGAACCAAAGGAGAUGCGUGCUUGCAGGAAGAAGCAUUAACCUGUGGUGACCGGAGGCUGAACGGCCGGAGCAGCGGGAGGGGUAUCAGCUCCUGGAGCUGCCGGCAGAACGCCUGUGGCCGUGACGGAGGAGGAGAAGAAAGCGCAGAACGCCUGUGGCUGUGGCUUCCCGCGGGACAUGAGCAGCAACAGGGAGCGCAGAGACAACCGGGGAGCAAGCGCCAUCUUUCUCUUGAUCGGUGCUAGCUACUAUGCCCUUGGGAGGCUUGACAGGGACAAGUUGAUCGGUGAGGAGUGCCU
rnacentral:lncRNA from 1 species